rnacentral:tRNA from 1 species
GCCCUCAUAGCUUAAUGGAUAAAGCGUGACCCUCCGGAGGUCAAAAUCUCCGUUCGAGUCGGAGUGAGGGCA